rnacentral:rRNA from 1 species
GAUGAACGCUAGCGGCAGGCUUAAUACAUGCAAGUCGAGGGGCAGCAUGAUUGUAGCAAUACAAUUGAUGGCGACCGGCAAACGGGUGCGGAACACGUACACAACCUUCCAACAAGUGGGGGAUAGCCCAGAGAAAUUUGGAUUAAUACCCCGUAACAUAGCGAUGUGGCAUCACAUUGCUAUUAUAGAUUUUUCGCUUGUUGAUGGGUGUGCGGCUGAUUAGAUAGUUGGCGGGGUAACGGCCCACCAAGUCUACGAUCAGUAGCUGAUGUGAGGGCAUGAUCAGCCACACGGGCACUGAGACACGGGCCCGACUCCUACGGGAGGCAGCAGUAAGGAAUAUUGGACAAUGGACGCAAGUCUGAUCCAGCCAUGCCGCGUGAAGGAUUAAGGUCCUCUGGAUUGUAAACUUCUUUUAUAAGGGACGAAAAAAGGCUUUUCUAAGUCGUCUGACGGUACCUUAUGAAUAAGCACCGGCUAACUCCGUGCCAGCCGCCGCCGCGGUAA